rnacentral:rRNA from 1 species
AGAGUUUGAUCCUGGCUCAGAAUCAACGCUGGCGGCGCGCUUAACACAUGCAAGUCGAACGAGAAAGUGGAGCAAUCCAUGAGUAAAGUGGCGUACGGGUGAGUAACACGUGGGUAAUCUGCCUCUUUGUGGGGAAUAACUCUGGGAAACCGGAGCUAAUACCGCAUAAGCCUGGAAAGGGAAAGCAAGCAAUUGCGCAGAGAGAGGAGCCCGCGGCCGAUUAGCUAGUUGGCAGGGUAAAAGCCUACCAAGGCAAUGAUCGGUAGCCGGCCUGAGAGGGCACACGGCCACACUGGCACUGAAACACGGGCCAGACUCCUACGGGAGGCAGCAGUGGGGAAUCUUGCACAAUGGGGGCAACCCUGAUGCAGCGACGCCGCGUGAGCGAUGAAGCCCCUCGGGGUGUAAAGCUCUUUCGGCAGGAACGAUAAUGACGGUA